GAUGAAGAACGUAGUGAAAUGCGAUAAGUAAUGUGAAUUGCAGAAUUCAGUGAAUCAUCGAAUCUUUGAACGCACCUUGCGCCCUUUGGCCAUUCCGAAGGGCAUGCCUGUUUGAGUAUCAUGAACACCUCAACUCUUCAUGGUUUUCCAUGAUGAGCUUGGACUUUGGGGGUCUUGCUGGCCUGUGGGUCGGCUCCUCUCAAAUGAAUCAGCUUGCCGGUUUUUGGUGGGCAUCACAGGUGUGAUAACUAGCUACGCUUGUGGUUUUCCACCAGGGUAACCUUCAGCAGUGGAGGUUCACUGGAGCUUACAAAUGUCUCUCCUCUGUGAGGACAGCCCUUUGAAUGUUUGAUCUCAAAUCAGGUAGGACUACCCGCUGAACUUAAGCAUAUCAAUAAGCGGAGGA
rnacentral:misc_RNA from 1 species